rnacentral:lncRNA from 10 species
CUCUGAGGACAUCUUGUGGGACCAGUCCUGCCCACAUGGGGCCCACUCUCUGUGAGGUGAAAACCCAUUUCAAGGGCUGCAGCCAGGGUGAGGCCUCUGUGGACCCCUAUGGACGUGGCUGGCCACAGAAAGCUGUUAAAGAAAUGAGGGUGGGGAUUUCUGGGGCAUAAGGACAGGAAAAGGGACACAUACGUGUCAACCACCAUUUCAACUGCACCCCCUCCUUCGAGAGGAUGCCAUGGCCACACUCAGCUGGGCCCUAAGGUGGGCUGAGCCAGAGGAAGGCAGGCAGGAGCUCUGUCUCCCGGCCUUCUCCACUGGAGCCUGAAGCACCUCCUGCCCAGGCCAGCAAGGUGCAGGAAGCGUCCCACCUAGAGACCUCUGCAGACUUGACCACACACCCCAGGGCAAGCAAGGGCCCCACUCCUGAGCCUACCUCUGAUCCUACAGUUCCAAGAGACAGAAGCCAACCUUGCCCCUCCCUUCUGGACCCCAGAGUGCCCUGUGGGCACUAUUACUGCUAACGUUUGAGUGCCAGCUCUGUGCCGGGUGCCAUUCUGGGCAGUCGCACCAGCUACCACUACCACCUGUAGCAGUCCUGCCCCCGUUCACAGAAGACAUUCAGGAGCCCAGCCUGUGGGGGCAGUUCACAUCUGGGAUCUCAAGUCCUAACACAACCAAGCAAUCCUCGCUUUACAGAUGAUGAAAUUGAGCCGCCAUGGUGGGGAAGCCCAACCCAAAUGUGUCAUCUCUGCUGUGAGCUAGACAGCACAGUGGCUGUGGGCCUGGAGGGCAGGGCUGCCUGAUGGGCAGCCAUCCUGGGAAUGUCUGCAAGGGUCUGGUGCUUGGUACAGACCAGUGAGUCUGGGGAAUUGGGGUCUCCACCAAGAUCUGUGGGUGCACUUGGCAUGUUUGCUGCAGAAAAGGCCCCAGAAUGGGCUGGCUUGAACUGGAAAAACACACUUUCUCAUCCCUUUUGGACCACGAGCUUCUUGAGAGCAAAGCAUGUGUUUGAUAUUCCUUUGCUCACCCUCAGGCCUUGUUUGGCAAAUUGCCUGGGAUACAGAAAAUAAGGACAAGGUCUGGGUGUAGUGGCUUAUGCCUGUAAUCCCAGCACUUUGGGUGACCAAGGCAGGAGGAUCUCUUGAGGCCAGGAGUUGCAGACCAGCCUGGGUAACAUAGUGAGACCUUGUCUCUGCAACAAAAUUUAAAAAUUAGCCAGACUUGGUGGUUCCCACUUGCAAUCCCAGCUAUUUGGGAGGCUGAGGCGAGAGGAUCACUUGAGCGCAGGAAUUUAAGGCUGCUGUGAGCUAUGAUUGUGCCACUGCACUCCAGCCUGGGUAACAGUGAGAGGCCUCAUUUCAACAAUAAAACCCAGCUUGGGCCGGGCGCGGUGGCUCAUGCCUUUAAUCCCAGCACUUUGGGAGGCCAAGACGGG